CCUACGGGAGGCAGCAGUGAGGAAUAUUGGUCAAUGGGCGCGAGCCUGAACCAGCCAAGUAGCGUGAAGGAUGACUGCCCUACGGGUUGUAAACCUCUUUUAUAAAGGAAUAAAGUGAGGCACGUGUGCCUUUUUGUAUGUACUUUAUGAAUAAGGAUCGGCUAACUCCGUGCCAGCAGCCGCGGUAAUACGGAGGAUGCGAGCGUUAUCCGGAUUUAUUGGGGUUAAAGGGAGCGUAGGUGGGUUGUAAAGUCAGUGGUUAAAGUUUGGGGUUCAACCGUAGAACGGCAGUUGAUACUGGCUGUCUUGAGUGCGGUUAGGGUAGGCGGAAUUCGUGGUGUAGCGGUGAAAUGCUUAGAUAUCACGAAGAACUCCGAUAGCGAAGGCAGAUUACUAGCCUGCCACUGACGUUGAUGCUCGAAAGUGUGGGUAUCGAACAGGAUUAGAUACCCCUGUAGUC
rnacentral:rRNA from 1 species